UACGUAGGGUGCAAGCGUUAUCCGGAAUCACUGGGCGUAAAGCGUGCGUAGGUGGCGCGUUAAGUGAGAUGUUAAAUCGUGUGGCUCAACCAUAUCGAUGCAUCUCAUACUGGCGUGCUAGAGGGAAGCAGAGGCAAGUGGAAUUUGUAGUGUAGCAGUGAAAUGCGUAGAUAUUACAAGGAACACCAAUGGCGAAGGCAGCUUGCUGGGCUUCUUCUGACACUGAGGUACGAAAGCGUGGGGAGCGAACAGG
rnacentral:rRNA from 1 species